GACGAACGCUGGCGGCGUGCUUAACACAUGCAAGUCGAACGGAAAGGCCCUGCUUUUGUGGGGUGCUCGAGUGGCGAACGGGUGAGUAACACGUGAGUAACCUGCCCUUGACUUUGGGAUAACUUCAGGAAACUGGGGCUAAUACCGGAUAGGAGCUCCUGCUGCAUGGUGGGGGUUGGAAAGUUUCGGCGGUUGGGGAUGGACUCGCGGCUUAUCAGCUUGUUGGUGGGGUAGUGGCUUACCAAGGCUUUGACGGGUAGCCGGCCUGAGAGGGUGACCGGCCACAUUGGGACUGGGAUACGGCCCAGACUCCUGCGGGAGGCAGCAGUGGGGAAUAUUGCACAAUGGGCGGAAGCCUGAUGCAGCAACGCCGCGUGCGGGAUGACGGCCUUCGGGUUGUAAACCGCUUUCGCCUGUGACGAAGCGUGAGUGACGGUAAUGGGUAAAGAAGCACCGGCUAACUACGUG
rnacentral:rRNA from 1 species